rnacentral:tRNA from 1 species
UCAUUAAGAAGCUAUGAACCAGCGUUAGCCUUUUAAGCUAGAGAAAGAGGAACACAAAUCCUCCUUAAUGAU